GUAGGUGGCAAGCGUUGUCCGGAAUUAUUGGGCGUAAAGCGCGCGCAGGCGGUUCUUUAAGUCUGAUGUGAAAGCCCACGGCUCAACCGUGGAGGGUCAUUGGAAACUGGAGAACUUGAGUACAGAAGAGGAAAGCGGAAUUCCACGUGUAGCGGUGAAAUGCGUAGAGAUGUGGAGGAACACCAGUGGCGAAGGCGGCUUUCUGGUCUGUAACCGACGCUGAGGCGCGAAAGCGUGGGGAGCAAACAGGAUUAGAUACCCUGGUAGUCCACGCCGUAAACGAUGAGUGCUAAGUGUUAGGGGGUUUCCGCCCCCCUUAGUGCUGCAGCUAACGCAUUAAGCACUCCGCCUGGGAGUACGGCCGCAAGGCUG
rnacentral:rRNA from 1 species